UACAGAGGUCUCAAGCGUUGUUCGGAUUCAUUGGGCGUAAAGGGCGCGUAGGCGGCGGGGUAAGUCGGGUGUGAAAUCUCAGGGCUCAACCCUGAAACUGCACUCGAUACUGCUUUGCUUGAGGACUGGAGAGGAGACUGGAAUUCACGGUGUAGCAGUGAAAUGCGUAGAUAUCGUGAGGAAGACCAGUGGCGAAGGCGGGUCUCUGGACAGUUCCUGACGCUGAGGCGCGAAGGCCAGGGGAGCAAACAGG
rnacentral:rRNA from 1 species